rnacentral:rRNA from 1 species
UACGUAGGGUGCAAGCGUUAAUCGGAAUUACUGGGCGUAAAGCGUGCGCAGGCGGUGAUGUAAGACAGUUGUGAAAUCCCCGGGCUCAACCUGGGAACUGCAUCUGUGACUGCAUCGCUGGAGUGCGGCAGAGGGGGAUGGAGUUCCGCGUGUAGCAGUGAAAUGCGUAGAUAUGCGGAGGAACACCGAUGGCGAAGGCAAUCCCCUGGGCCUGCACUGACGCUCAUGCACGAAAGCGUGGGGAGCAAACAGG